AGAGUUUGAUCCUGGCUCAGAACGAACGCUGGCGGCAGGCCUAACACAUGCAAGUCGAGCGAGACCUUCGGGUCUAGCGGCGGACGGGUGAGUAACGCGUGGGAAUAUGCCCUUUGGUACGGAAUAGCCUCGGGAAACUGAGAGUAAUACCGUAUGUGCCCUUCGGGGGAAAGAUUUAUCGCCAAAGGAUUAGCCCGCGUUGGAUUAGGUAGUUGGUGGGGUAAUGGCCUACCAAGCCUACGAUCCAUAGCUGGUUUGAGAGGAUGAUCAGCCACACUGGGACUGAGACACGGCCCAGACUCCUACGGGAGGCAGCAGUGGGGAAUCUUAGACAAUGGGGGCAACCCUGAUCUAGCCAUGCCGCGUGAGUGAUGAAGGCCUUAGGGUUGUAAAGCUCUUUCAGCUGGGAAGAUAAUGACGGUACCAGCAGAAGAAGCCCCGGCUAACUCCGUGCCAGCAGCCGCGGUAAUA
rnacentral:rRNA from 1 species